rnacentral:rRNA from 1 species
UACGGAGGGGGCUAGCGUUGUUCGGAAUUACUGGGCGUAAAGCGCGCGUAGGCGGACCUGCAAGUCGGGGGUGAAGCCCGAGGCUCAACCUCGGAACUGCCUUCGAUACUGCGGGUCUCGAGUCCGGGAGAGGUGAGUGGAAUUCCGUAGUGUAGAGGUGAAAUUCGUAGAUAUUAGGAAGAACACAGUGGCGAAGGCGGCUCACUGGCCC